AAAUUCCGACCGCAGUACCGAAACCGCAAACCUUGCCCCGCUCUCAAGCUCCAUCUUCUAGCAAAGCUUUGCUACAACGCGCGCGCCGCCAUUCCUGACGCUUCCGCCACCGCUACUGCUAGUAGCCAAGAUUCGACAGGGCAGGUGGCCACGGUAGUGGCUAUUGCUGAAAAAUAAAUGUGAACGGGAGAGUGAAACGCUGCCUUUCAAGACGAGACAUAACAGUUCUGGACAAAGACUAAAGUAGAGACCUAGAAAUGAGAAAAGAAGAAGAACUAGCAGCGGAACCCACAAAAGGACUGUUAUUCAGCUCGUCAUUGUUCCAGCGAGUUGUUCGGAAGGAACUAUUAUCAUGCAUCGUUAUACACGUCCAGAUCUUCAAAAACUCCUCCUCAAAAUAGGAAAAAAAUAGUUUGAAUACGCCAAAGGUGCGAUCAUUUCGGAGAGUUCGAAAAAAGGCUCAUGU